AAUUCUCAACUUCUAAUACUUUUUUGUAUCAGAAGCUUGGAUUUGGAGGCUCGUGCUGGCUCUCUCGUUAGAGUCGGCUCCUCUUAAAUGAAUUAGCGUGAAUCACUAUGGAUCGCUUCGGUGUGAUAAUUAUCUGCGCCGUAGUCGUGAAGUAUUAAUAAAAGUUCUCGCUUCUAAUCGUCCUUCACGGGACAAUUAACCCUGACU
rnacentral:misc_RNA from 1 species